GAUGAACGCUAGCGGCAGGCUUAAUACAUGCAAGUCAAGGGGGUAGCAAUACAACCGGCGCACGGGUGAGUAACGCGUACACAACAUACCAUAUACUGGGGUAUAGCUUCGGGAAACUGAAGGUAAUCCCCCGUAAUAUUGCGGGAAGGCAUCUUUCUGCAAUUAAAGUUUCGACGGUAUAUGAUUGGUGUGCGUUUGAUUAGCUAGUUGGUAGGGUAACGGCCUACCAAGGCGACGAUCAAUAGCUGGCGUGAGAGCGCGACCAGCCACACUGGAACUGAGACACGGUCCAGACUCCUACGGGAGGCAGCAGUAGGGAAUAUUGGACAAUGGGCGAAAGCCUGAUCCAGCCAUGCCGCGUGAUAGAUGAAGGCCCUCUGGGUUGUAAAUAUCUUUUAUCUGGGAAGAAACCCCUCUAUUCUUAGAGGCCUGACGGUACCAGAGGAAUAAGCACCGGCUAACUCCGUGCCAGCAGCCGCGGUAAUGUCUAG
rnacentral:rRNA from 1 species